AUGAAAUAUAACGAGAAGGUUAGAAGACAGAUGGAUAUUAAAAAGGCCUAUAGAAAACAAGCCCUGCAGCUUCAUCCUGACCGGAACCCUGAUGAUCCACAAGCCCAGGAGAAAUUCCAGGAUCUAGGUGCUGCAUAUGAGGUUCUAUCAGGUAAUGAGAAACGGAAACAAUAUGAUGCUUAUGGUGAAGAAGGAUUAAAAGAUGGUCAUCAAAGUUCCCAUGGAGACAUUUUUUCACACUUCUUUGGAGAUUUUGGUUUCAUGUUUGGAGGGACCCCUUGUCAGCAAGACAGAAAUAUUCCAAGAGGAAGUGAUACUAUUGUAGAUCUAGAAGUCACUUUGGAAGAAGUGUAUGCAGGAAAUUUUGUGGAAGUAGUUAGAAACAAACCUGUGGCGAGGCAGGCUCCAGGCAAACGGAAAUGCAAUUGUCAGCAAGAAAUGCAGACCACCCAGCUGGGCCCUGGUUCCAAAGCAGUUCACCCUGCUUCCAAAUGACCCAGGAGGUGGUCUGCGAUGAAUGCUCUAAUGUCAAACUAGUGAAUGAAGGACAAACAUUAGAGGUAGAAAUCAAACCUGGGGUGAGAGACAGCAUGGAGUACCCAUUUAUUGGAGAAGGUGAGCCUCACAUGGAUGGGGAGCCUGGAGAUUUACGGUUCAGAAUCAAAGUUGUUAAGCACCCAAUAUUUGAAAGGAGAGGAGAUGAUUUGUACACAAAUGUGACAAUCUCACUAGUUGAGUCUCUUGUUGGCUUUGAGAUGGACAUUACACACUUGGAUGGUCACAAGGUACAUAUCUCCCGGGAUAAGAUCACUAGGCCAGGAGCAAAGCUAUGGAAGAAGGGGGAAGGGCUCCCUAGCUUUGACAACAACAAUAUCAAGGGCUCUUUGAUAAUCACUUUUGAUGUGGAUUUUCCAACACAAUAGUUAACAGAGGAAGCAAGAGAAGGUAUCAUACAGCUACUGAAACAAGGAUCAGUGCAGAAGGUAUGCAAUGGACUGCAAGGAUAUUAAGAGUGAAUAAAAUUGGACUUUGUUUAAAAUGAGUGAAUCAGCAAUAUUUAUUAUCUGCAGGGUUUUUUGUCUGUGUUUUUGUUUUUAUUCUCAAUAUGCAAGUUUGGUUUAAUUUUUUUUAUAAUGAUCGUCAUGAAAUGAAUAAAGAGGGCUUAAGAAUUUGCCCAUUGCAUUCAGAAAAGAAUGACCAGCAAAAGGUUUACUAAUAC